CAAUCGACGGCUGUAAUAUCAAUAUCCACAGCAACGGUUUUCCAUUCUAUAGUUAUUAUCAAGCAUAUUUGAGUGAAAAGUGAUCAGUAUCACACAAGAGCAUCUCCGUACAAAAACUUUCAAAAUGAAAAUCAGGCAUGUGCAAGAAAUGAAAAUACAACUUUCCAAAAUGUUAACUAACCCGUCCUUACCGUGGAGUUCAAUAUUGAAAUAUGUCUCAGAAAAAACUAAUGUGAGUGCUUUGUACAUUUUUUGUGCUUCUACGAUCAUGUUGGCAUUAUGGUUGACAUUUGGAGAGGACCCACAAUUGAUCUGCAAUUCUAUCGGAUUCUUCUAUCCGGCUUAUGUUACAAUUAAAAUGAUCAGAUACACGAAGGUGAACAACAACUUUAGAUGGUUGACUUAUUGGCUUGUAUUUGCAACGUUUUCUUGGAUUGACUAUUUUUCUAAUCAGAUUGUAGAAUUGUUUCCCUUGUAUUGGCUAGCCAAAUGUUUCAUUUUAGUUUUUCUAAUGAUUUGCAUUAAUUUAACAAAAACAAUCACUUUAUUCAAAAGUAGCAUCACACCAUAUUUUUGGAAAACCUAUUAAGAUGUUCAACCUAGAAAAAAGUUACAAAUACAAAGAACAAUUAAGUUAUUAGAAAGUAUACAUAUAGUGAAGUAAUUCUAAAUUAAUUGAUGUUUAGUUAUUAGAUUUGUAUAAAUUUUUGUAUCAAUAAAUUUGAAAAUGUU